GACGAGGGGUCCAAGCGUUGUUCGGAAUCAUUGGGCGUAAAGCGGGUGUAGGUGGCUUUGUAAGUCAGGCGUGAAAUCCCCGAGCUUAACUUGGGAAGUGCUUUUGAAACUGCAGAGCUUGAAUGUGGGAGAGGAUCGUGGAAUUCCAGGUGUAGUGGUGAAAUACGUAGAUAUCUGGAGGAACACCGGUGGCGAAGGCGGCGAUCUGGCCCAACAUUGACACUGAGACCCGAAAGCGUGGUGAUCAAACAGG
rnacentral:rRNA from 1 species